UACGUAGGGUGCGAGCGUUAAUCGGAAUUACUGGGCGUAAAGCGUGCGCAGGCGGCUUCGCAAGUCAGACGUGAAAUCCCCGGGCUUAACCUGGGAAUGGCGUUUGAAACUACGGAGCUGGAGUGUGGCAGAGGGAGGUAGAAUUCCACGUGUAGCGGUGAAAUGCGUAGAUAUCCGAAGGAACAUCAGUGGCGAAAGCGGCUUCCUGGACCAGAACUGACGAUCAGGCACGAAAGCGUGGGGAGCAAACAGG
rnacentral:rRNA from 1 species